GAUCAUGGCUCAGGAUGAACGCUAGCGGCAGGCUUAAUACAUGCAAGUCGAACGGGAUUCGGGGUAGCAAUACUUUGAUGAGAGUGGCGCACGGGUGCGUAACGCGUAUGCAACCUACCUUUAACAGGUGAAUAGCCCCGAGAAAUCGGGAUUAAUACACCGUAACAUUGCGCUGUGGCAUCACAGUGCAAUUAAAGAUUUAUCGGUUAAAGAUGGGCAUGCGUGACAUUAGCUAGUUGGUGAGGUAACGGCUCACCAAGGCAACGAUGUCUAGGGGUCCUGAGAGGGUUAUCCCCCACACUGGUACUGAGACACGGACCAGACUCCUACGGGAGGCAGCAGUAAGGAAUAUUGGUCAAUGGGCGCAAGCCUGAACCAGCCAUGCCGCGUGCAGGAAGACGGCCCUAUGGGUUGUAAACUGCUUUUGUCAGGGAAUAAACCUUUGUACGUGAUACAGAGCUGAAGGUACCUGAAGAAUAAGCAUCGGCUAACUCCGUG
rnacentral:rRNA from 1 species